rnacentral:rRNA from 1 species
GACGAACGCUGGCGGCGUGCUUAACACAUGCAAGUCGAACGGAAAGGCCCUGCUUUUGUGGGGUGCUCGAGUGGCGAACGGGUGUGUAACACGUGAGUAACCUGCCCUUGACUUUGGGAUAACUUCAGGAAACUGGGGCUAAUACCGGAUAGGAGCUCCUGCUGCAUGGUGGGGGUUGGAAAGUUUCGGCGGUUGGGGAUGGACUCGCGGCUUAUCAGCUUGUUGGUGGGGUAGUGGCUUACCAAGGCUUUGACGGGUAGCCGGCCUGAGAGGGUGACCGGCCACAUUGGGACUGAGAUACGGCCCAGACUCCUACGGGAGGCAGCAGUGGGGAAUAUUGCACAAUAGGCGGAAGCCUGAUACAGCAACGCCGCGUGCGGGAUGACGGCCUUCGGGUUGUAAACCGCUUUCGCCUGUGACGAAGCGUGAGUGACGGUAAUGGGUAAAGAAGCACCGGCUAACUACGUG